rnacentral:ncRNA from 1 species
CAAAGGUUUGGUCUUAGCCUUUUUAUUAGCUUUUAAUAAAAUUAUACAUGCAAGUAUCAGCACCCCAGUGAAAAUGCCCUUAAAUUUAUUAAUAUAAGUAAAAGGAGCAGGUAUCAAGCACACUUACUGUAGCUCACAACACCUUGCUAUGCCACACCCUCACGGGAUACAGCAGUAACAAAAAUUAAGCAAUAAACGAAAGUUUGACUUAGUUAUAUUAUUUUUAAAGUCGGUCAACUUCGUGCCAGCCACCGCGGUCAUACGAAGGACUUAAACUAAUAAAUAUCGGCGUAAAGCGUGAUUAGGAUCUUUUAAUAAUAAAAUAAAAACUAUUCUAUGCUGUAAAAAGCCAAAGAAUAUUCAUAAUAAAUAACGAAAGUAAUUUUAUAAUUUCUGAACUCACGAUAGCUAAGGAACAAACUGGGAUUAGAUACCCCACUAUGCUUAGCCUUAAACCUAGGCAGUCCACAACAAGACAUGCCCGCCAGAGAACUACUAGUAGAGCUAAAAACUUAAAAGACUUGGCGGUGCUUCACAUCUAUCUAGAGGAGCCUGUUAUAUAAUUGAUACACCCCACUAUACCCUACCACCACUUGCUAAGUCAGUCUAUAUACCGCCAUCCUCAGCAAACCCCGAAAGGCAAUAUCAGUAAGCAAAAUAAUUUAACAUAAAAACGUUAGGUCAAGGUGUAACCAAUGUGGUGGAAUCCAAUGGGCUACAUUUUCUAAAACUAGAACACACCCAACGAAAAUACUAAUGAAACUUAGUAUUAAAGGAGGAUUUAGUAGUAAACUGGGAAUAGAGUGCUCAGUUGAAAUCGGCUAUGAAGCACGCACACACCGCCCGUCACCCUCCUCAACUAAUCUGUCACAAGCCACUUAUUUAAAUAUUUACUUGCAACUAACUAAGAGGAGACAAGUCGUAACAAGGUAAGCGUACUGGAAAGUGUGCUUGGAAAACUC